UAAAAAAUAGCAUUAUUUUCUUUAAAUUAUACUGCUAUAUAUCAUGAUAUAUAGAUACUUUCAUAUAGUUUUUUCAAUAUUACACACUGUAUCAAGACAAAGACACCAAUAUAAGCCAAAGAGCUCUGUAGUUUAUAAUAUAUAAAUGUACUAAAUGCUUUUCACAUGACAUUAUACAUGUUAUACAGAUUAUAGGGGGUUUGACAAAGCCUUAGCAAACAUCACAUGAACUAAUAUCAAUAACAUAAUACAAUGUAUGUAUAUAUAUAUAUAUAUAUAUAUAUAGAUAAGUGGUUUGAUAAAGCCUGUGUAAACGUGACUGAUAUGAAUGGCUGAUACAGCACGAUUGCCACUGAUUUUAUUAUUUAUACAAUUUACUUGUUAUCACGACUUAUAAUACUGUGGAUUCAUUUAUUUUAUUUUGUACCAAUUUGCGUGGAUUGGGGUAAAAUUACUCUUUCGUAGAUAUUUACUUCCAUGAUUUAGCCAAAGUCUGCAUAUACAUAAGCCUAUAGAAUAUAUAUUAUUUCUUGAAUGUUUU
rnacentral:lncRNA from 1 species